UGGGGAAUAUUGGACAAUGGGCGGAAGCCUGAUCCAGCAACGCCGCGUGAGGGAUGACGGCCUUCGGGUUGUAAACCUCUUUCAGCACAGACGAAGCUGUUCUCACGUGUGGGGGUGGUGACGGUAUGUGCAGAAGAAGCACCGGCCAACUACGUGCCAGCAGCCGCGGUAAUACGUAGGGUGCGAGCGUUGUCCGGAAUUAUUGGGCGUAAAGGGCUCGUAGGCGGUUUGUCGCGUCGGGAGUGAAAUCCACUGGCUUAACUGGUGGCUUGCUUUCGAUACGGGCAGACUGGAGGUAUGCAGGGGAGAACGGAAUUCCUGGUGUAGCGGUGAAAUGCGCAGAUAUCAGGAGGAACACCGGUGGCGAAGGCGGUUCUCUGGGCAUGUCCUGACGCUGAGGAGCGAAAGUGUGGGGAGCGAACAG
rnacentral:rRNA from 1 species